rnacentral:lncRNA from 1 species
AAGGUGGAUCACGACAAGAAGAUCCUGACGAUCCGCGACCGCGGCGUCGGCAUGACGAAGAAGGACUUGAAAGAAAACCUCGGCACCAUCGCCAAGUCGGGAACCUCCGCGUUCCUCGAGCAGAUGCAGAAGGGCGGCGACAUGUCGCUCAUCGGGCAGUUCGGCGUCGGCUUCUACUCCGUCUACCUCGUCGCGGACUUUGUGGAGGUGCGAUCCAAGCACAACGACGAGGACACGCAGUGGAUCUGGGAGUCCAAAGCCGACGGCGCGUUCGCCAUCUCCCCAGACGACGGCGAGCCCCUCGGCCGCGGCGUCGAGAUCAACAUCUACCUCAAAGAAGAAGCGCAGGAGUACCUGGACGAGGACAAGCUCAAGGAGCUCGUGGGCAAGUACAGCGAGUUCAUCAACUUCCCCAUCUACCUCUGGCAGUCGAGCGAGGUGGAGGAGGAGGUGCCCGUGGACGAGGUCGUCGAGGGCGAGGAGGACGACGACGAAGACGCGGACGCGUCGGACGACGACGAAGAGGACUCCGCCGCGGCCGACGACGACGACGAAGACGCGUCCGUGGAGGACGACGACGACGACGACGCGGACGAGGACGAGGACGAGGACAAGCCGAAGACGAAGAAGGUGAAGAAGACGGUCUGGGACUGGGAGCUCCUCAACGACUCCAAGGCGAUUUGGCUUCGCAACGCCGCCGACGUGGAAGAGGACGAGUACGCCAAGUUUUUCAAGGCGCUGUCCAAGUCCGAGGACGCGCCGCUGUCGUACAC